UCUGGUGUCAGCCGCCGCGGUAAAACCAGCACCUCAAGUGGUCAGGAUGAUUAUUGGGCCUAAAGCAUCCGUAGCCUGUUCCAUAAGUUUUCGGUUAAAUCCAUUAGCUCAACUAAUGGGCCGCCGAAAAUACUGUGGAACUAGGGAGUGGGAGAGGUAGACGGUACUCGGUAGGAAGGGGUAAAAUCCUUUGAUCUAUUGAUGACCACCUGUGGCGAAGGCGGUCUACCAGAACACGUUCGACGGUGAGGGAUGAAAGCUGGGGGAGCAAACCGGAUUGGAUACCCGGGUAGUCCCAGCUGUAAACGAUGCAGACUCGGUGAUGCGCUGGCUUGUGGCCAGUGCAGUGCCGCAGGGAAGCCGUUAAGUUUGCCGCCUGGGAAGUACGUACGCAAGUAUGAAACUUAAAG
rnacentral:rRNA from 2 species